AACGUUGACAUUUUUUUUAUCAUGAUCUGUAUAUUGAAUUUACGUCAUGGCUUCACCCAACAUUCAACAUGUUUGGUUACCAUGGUAUUGGAGGACUCCGCGCACGCGGCCACGCGCAGCGCUUCACUUCACUUAAUUACGAACACCUGACCUGCAGUGCAGCAGAAUUCAGAGACAUGUAACUUACUCCAGAGACGCACUAACUUGCACAGCAUUGAAUGGAAAAGGCUUUGUCCAUGACCAGUUGAGGGGCAUCAAGAACAUGCAGAUGGCCUAAACCUGUGUCAGCCUGGACAGACUGCAGUUCUGCUACUCCAUGCCAAGGCUUUUGUAUGGAUGUCUUGACUGCUACUGUGUUCUCUAAAGGUAUUACUGGA